rnacentral:rRNA from 1 species
GACGAACGCUGGCGGCGUGCCUAAUACAUGCAAGUCGAGCGAAGCGGCGGAUGGGUGAGUCACGCGUGGGUAACAUGCUCUUAAGUCUGGGAUACCAUUUGGACACAGUUGCUAAUAACGGAUAAUAAAGGAUGGACCUGCGAUGCAUUAGCUAUUUGGUAAGGUAACGGCUUACCAAGGCGAUGAUGCAUAGCCGAGUUGAGAGACUGACCGGCCACAUUGGGACUGCGACACGGCCCAAACUCCUACGGGAGGCAGCAGUAGGGAAUCUUCCACAAUGGACGAAAGUCUGAUGUAGCAACGCCGCGUGAUUGAAGAAGGUUUUCGGAUCGUAAAGCUCUGUUGUUGGUGAAGCGGUAAUCAACCAGAAAGUCACGGCUAACUACGUGCCAGCAGCCGCGGUAAUAC